UUGGAGAUCCUAUUUGCAAUGGACAUGCUUUGAAGAUAAAAGGGGUGACAAUCAGAGAAAAAGUUGGACCUCGUGGAUGGACACGAACUAAUCGUCAGUUUAUUUGAAGCAUGAUUUGAAGAGAUUCCUAGCAAUUAACAAACUUGAACCUUGAGAUGGGGAGAGAGUAGAAUAAUCUAGAGCGUUGCUGAAAUGCCUUGAUUCUCUAG